ACCUUUGCACAGUGGCAGCAUCGUAGCCAAUAAGGUUUAUCCGAGGUGAGAUUAUUGCUACUUGAAAACUUUUCCCAAACCCCGCCAUGAUGACUUGAAAUUAGUCGGCAUUGGCAAUUUUUGACUGUCCCUAUGGAGA
rnacentral:snRNA from 1 species